UAAUGUUCUGAAUAUACUAAAUGCACAAGAAUCAUUUUUAUGAUUGAUAGAUUUAAAAUGAUUAGAACUGAUUGAUAUUGUACUAAGUCCUUACGCAAUGUCCAUUGUACAAUAUACAUGCUCCUUUUUUCAAAUUUUAUAUUAUAUAAUUAAAAAUAACAACAAAAUUGUAACUUAUGCCUGUGCAUAAACCUGAAAAUAAUAAAUUAAAUUAGUACAAUAAUAUACAAUUUUGUAUCAAAUGGUAUUUCUCAAGGUCGCGCCAGGGUUUCUUCAAUUAAGACAAUUUUGGCCAGGGCUUCUUACCCGAAUUCACAAGUUUGCCAAUGUGUGUGAGAAAAUAUACCCAUUUUCUACAAAAAUUUGCCAAUUAGUAAAAAUGAAUGUUGACAAAAGUCAAAACAUGGCAAUCUUCUUCUUUUAGUAUCAAUGAUUAAAGUUUUCAUUUAUCCAAUUGUACAUCAUUCCUGACCAGGCAUUUAAACUUGCAGUGAACCCUGGAUUGUACCGAAAUAUAUUUAUUAUGUAUCAUUGUACUGUACUGUAAACUCUUAUGUUUAUAAACACUUGUUCUUCAGAUGUACAUGUGCAAAGCUUAGGUAAGAAAAAUGUUUCCACCUGCAUUCAUCCCUCGUUCCCGACCUUUGAGGCACUCCGAGGGAGUUGGGCCCCAGGAGUCGAAGUCUCUGGGUCGGGAUCAGCUAAAUCUGGAACGAUAUUUUAAAUCGGAGGAACAGAGAUAUGAGAACAUUCCUCCAAUUCAGGAAGGGAAGUAUUCUGCCAAGGUGUUUAAUGGCCUGGGUAGAAAUGAGUUUACUCUUCCACCUCCAGUACCUGCUGGCAACCACCUGCACCCUCCAAUAAGACCUAGCCAUAAGACUCAUCCCCAUCUCCAGGCUCAUGUUAUACAUUCUCUUCAGAUGUCUCAUCUUCAAACUGCUCGGAACCAUCUGAAUCCCUCAUACAACCUUCUAUCAGCUAAAGGAGGCAUUCAGACUUUGGAACCAGUAUCUUCAGGCUACAAAUCAGUUUCUCCAAGAGGAAGACAUUCUUCCCCCUCCUUCUCCUACCUCCCAUCCUCGCCAUCCAUCCCUUGUUUUCCUCCACCACCCUCUCCCUCCCUUUCUUUCUGUGUUCCUCCCCCCUCCCCUUCCUUAUCCUACUUCAGCAGUAGACCCUCCAAUAGGCCAAGGACCCUCAUAGAAAUACCCAGGCAAGAUUCAGAACCACAGGAAUCCAGACCAACUGGGGAGAAGGAUGAGACCUCAUCCAUGGGAGAAUGUGAUUAUAGACUUGAUUAUAUCAAUGAUAAUAAUCAAGCAUUCUUUGGGGAGGAUUAUUUAAACCUCAAGUCUGCUCAAUACAGUGAAAGUGUUUGUGAGAAUGCUAAUCUAAAACCAUCCUCUCGUCCUAUCACUUUCAGGAGAGUAAGUGUUGCUGAAUCCACUUUGGAUCCGAACUCCAGACCUUUCACUCCAUCAACCAGAGCAGUUACUUCUUCUCUUUCUAAAUCAGAACCAGAAUAUUCUGGUCUUGCGGAUCAUAAUUAUAAUCAGGACUCCUGCUCCAUUGCUUCUGAAGAGUAUAAUUUCCUAUCUGAUCUGGAUCCUUUGCCACAGGAUCCUAGUAGUCUGCUCCCUCUUAAUCUGGUUGAAGAGGAUGCAUACUCUGAGGAUGAGAAUAAUAACAACAACUGCUUACCAAACCUUAAUCUUGGAGCAGCUUCUUCUAGAUCAAACAGGACGGCGGAUAGGUUUCCGCCUCUUGUACCGGAUGCUGCUUGGAAGAUUGGUUGUCUCCGGUCUAAUUUGCUGCCCACACCGGUCAACUUUCCGCCGUUCGGUCAUAGCAAGCUGGAACCUGUAUCUAUCAAAUCAAUCUUUAGCGGAGUUGGUACUGAGAAACCAGUAGACAAUAAUUGUCGUCUUCUAGUUUCAGGAGUUGAGGAAGUGAUUAAGGAUAUUUACAAAAAUAGUUCCCACUAUCAGAUGUUCGGGCCAGCAAGAAGGAUUGGUAAUAAAGCAACCUCUAACCUAUCUGUUCCUGUAGCCCCUCCUCAAACCAUUAAUUUCUCACCAGGGGAUGUUUUUGCUCAGGAUCUAAGUGUACCUGAAGAAUAUCUGGUCUCAUCAGUUCUCCGCCAGAAGAUUAGAACUAUUAAUAUUCGUCAGGAGCACACUGAUCUUCUGUUCUUCCUUUUCUACAGUAGUCCAGGAGAUUGUAUUCAACUAGUCGCUGCUAGUCUUCUCUAUGAGAGGGGCUGGAGGUUUCAUAAACAGAACCGGAUAUGGUUAGCCAGAUGGCCUGGAGUAUCCCCUGACGAGCUGACCAGCCUGCACGAGGUUGGCCUGUAUCAAUAUUUCGAUAUUGUUUCAUGGAAGCGGAUUCCUGCAAGAUUCAGGCUUGAAUAUUGCCAUCUGGCGGAGAAAACUCUAGUUCCUGAAGAUCUGAAAACUCUUUACUCAAGGUAUGCCGGGGUGCUACAUAAUAUUCAGGAUUUGUGCACUCAGACCUUGGAUUUUAACAGGGAAACCACACAGAUCAAUGGACUUUUUCAAGAAAUUGACGGGAUCAAGUUUCUACAGUGUAUCUUGUAGAUCAUAUAUAGAUACAGUUUCUACAGUUUAUCUUGUAUGUCUCCUAUUAACAGUUUCUACAGUGUAUCUUGUAGAUCAUAUAGAUACAGUUUCUACAGUGUAUCUUGUAUGUCUCCUAUUUACAGUUUCUACAGUGUAUCUUGUAUGUCACCUAGAUACAGUUUCUACAGUGUAUCUUGUAGAUCAUAUAUAGAUACAGUUUCUACAGUUUAUUUUAUAUGUCUCCUAUUUACAGUUUCUACAGUGUAUCUUGUAUGUCACCUAGAUACAGUUUCUACAGUGUAUCUUGUAGAUCAUAUAGAUACAGUUUCUACAGUGUAUCUUGUAGAUCAUAUAGAUACAGUUUCUACAGUGUAUCUUGUAGAUCAUAUAGAUACAGUUUCUACAGUGUAUCUUGUAGAUCAUAAAGAUACAGUUUCUACAGUGUAUCUUGUAUGUAACCUAGAUACAGUUUCUACAGUGUAUCUUGUAGAUCAUAAAGAUACAGUUUCUACAGUGUAUCUUGUAUGUCACCUAGAUACAGGUUCUACAGUGUAUCUUAUAGAUCAUAAAGAUACAAAGUCUACAGGGUAUCUUGUAUGUCACCUAGAUACAGUUUCUACAGUAUCUUGUAUAUCUCCUAUCUAGUUUCUACAGUGCACGCAUCUGUUAUAUCGAAAACUUGGAUGCAUGUUGUGAUUUUAAUAAUUCAACUAAUAUACUCGCAAAAAUCAGAUAUAUUUUAUAUUUUCAUUUACGCUCUCAUUUGUUUUUCAUUAGUUUCCACACUCAUUUAUUACAAAAUCCUAGCGGGCAUUUUUACAACCAACUUUUUACCAUAAUUAUUUAGUCAAAUAUAUUGUAAACCAUAUAUUAAAAAAUCUUGAAAUAAAAAUGUUUUAUCACA
rnacentral:misc_RNA from 1 species